rnacentral:rRNA from 1 species
GAUGAACGCUGGCGGCGUGCCUAAUACAUGCAAGUCGAGCGAACAGAUGAUGAUCUUGCUCCUCUGACUUUAGCGGCGGACGUGUGAGUAACACGUUGAUAACCUACCUAUUAGACUGGGAUAACUUCGGGAAACCGGAGCUCAUACCGGAUAAUAUAUUUAACCGCAUGUUUCUAUAGUGAAAGACGCUUUUUCUGUCACUUAUAGCUUGUUCCUCGCCGCAUUAGCUAGUUGGUUAGGUAACGGCUUACCAAGGCAACGAUGCGUAGCCGACCUGAGAGGGUGAUCGGCCACACUGGAACUGAGACACGGUCCAGACUCCUACGGGAGGAAGCAGUAGGGAAUCUUCCGAAAUGGGCGAAAGCCUGACGGAGCAACGCCGCGUGAGUGAUGAAGGUCUUCGGAUCGUAAAACUCUGUUAUUAGGGAAGAACAAAUGUGUAAGUAACUAUGCACGUCUUGACGGUACCUAAUCAGAAAGCCACGGCUAACUACGUG